UGUCCAGUAGCGGGAAUCGAACCCACAACCUUCUGCUUACCGGGCAGGUGCCAUGUCUACUAGGCUAUCCUGGAC
rnacentral:tRNA from 1 species